GGAUGAAACCCCUACGGAAGUCGCCACAACGAGAAGCGAUUCGAACCCAAAGAAGGUCAUAGCAUUCACAGAGACACUGCGCCUGAAGCCAUCGCUAUCGUACAUCUUUCUAGCGGCGGUGUUUAAGGGGUUGGUGCUCGUCAUGUUCCAGCAGAACAUGGACCACGACGACGUCGGAGGCAGCAGCUGCCCGCAUCAGGACGCCAGCAGCUCGUCCCUUUCGCGCAUCGCCGCCUGGAAAGCCCAGUACGCGCAGCACCGCUCGAGGCUUCAAACUAUCUGGGAGCGCACGCUCGAGCUGCAGUCCGCGAGCCCCGCCGACGAGUCGGAGAUUCAGCAGCAACCG